rnacentral:lncRNA from 1 species
CAUAUUCUUGUAAACGCAGCGGUUUACAACACUAAGGACUUGUAUUACAAUGGUUUGGACGUAAGUGUUCUAUGAACUUGUAAAAUGGAUCCUUAAUCUCGUAUACUACAAUAUUUUGAUUCCUAUUUACAAGUUUUUGCACUAUGAUUACAACUUUAAAGUUCUUUAUAAUCCAUAAUCUUGUAAUACUAUAAUUUACAUUAGAAAUGAUCUCUUU